CCUACGGGGGGCAGCAGUGGGGAAUAUUGGACAAUGGGGGGAACCCUGAUCCAGCGACGCCGCGUGAGUGAUGAAGUCUUUCGGUAUGUAAAGCUCUAUCAGCAGGGAAGAAAAUGACGGUACCUGACUAAGAAUCCCCGGCUAAAUACGUGCCAGCUGCGGCGGUUAUAUGUAGGGGGCAAGCGUUAUCCGGAUUUACUGGGUGUAAAGGGAGCGUAGACGGUGCAGCAUGUCUGGUGUGAAAGUUCGGGGCUCAACCCCGGGACUGCAUUGGAAACUGUUGAGCUGGAGUACAGGAGAGGUAAGCGGAAUACGUAGUGUAGCGGUGAAAUGCAUAGAUAUUAGGAGGAACACCAGUGGCGAAGGCAGCUUACUGGACUGAAACUGACGUUGAGGCUCGAAAGCGUGGGGAGCAAACAGGAUUAGAUACCCCAGUAGUC
rnacentral:rRNA from 1 species